rnacentral:rRNA from 1 species
AACGAACGCUGGCGGCAUGCCUAACACAUGCAAGUCGAACGAGAUCUUCGGAUCUAGUGGCGCACGGGUGCGUAACGCGUGGGAAUCUGCCCUUGGGUUCGGAAUAACAGUGAGAAAUUACUGCUAAUACCGGAUGAUGUCUUCGGACCAAAGAUUUAUCGCCCAGGGAUGAGCCCGCGUAGGAUUAGGUAGUUGGCGGGGUAAUGGCCUACCAAGCCGACGAUCCUUAGCUGGUCUGAGAGGAUGAUCAGCCACACUGGGACUGAGACACGGCCCAGACUCCUACGGGAGGCAGCAGUGGGGAAUAUUGGACAAUGGGCGCAAGCCUGAUCCAGCAAUGCCGCGUGAGUGAUGAAGGCCUUAGGGUUGUAAAGCUCUUUUACCAGGGAUGAUAAUGACAGUACCUGGAGAAUAAGCUCCGGCUAACUCCGUGCCAGCCGCCGCGGUAA